rnacentral:misc_RNA from 1 species
UGCUACCCUGAAAGACUCGGAAAACUGAUUGUGGUUCAUGUUCCUUACAUAUUCUGGACAAUGUGGAAGCUUGUGUACCCUUUUAUUGAUAACAACACCAAGAAGAAGAUUACAUUCGUGGAAAACAAACGACUCACAGAAACUCUACUUGAAGACAUUGAUGAAAGCCAGCUACCAGAUAUUUAUGGAGGCAAAAUGCCAUUAGUUCCUAUUCAUGAAGCCUAAGCAAGUAGUUACAGAUCAUUAUUAUUCAGAGCUAGUUUACGAGGUGUUUCAGGUAAUGCUCUCGAUAAGAAGACAUCAACAUUUGUACUACGAUCAUACAUUUUAUAUACAUUAUGCG